CACAGAGGACGACCUCCCCAGUCGGGUUGCUUGCAUCCGGGACGGCCCGG
rnacentral:ncRNA from 1 species